CACCUUGCGUCCUAAAGGCGCAGCGCAGGGGCUGCGCCGGCCGCGGUUCCCCUGGCACCCGGGAGGGGGCGGCACCGGGGAGACGGGAGCCUCGCCGCGUCCCUCAGCCCUUCACCUCGGCGACCCCAGCGGUCCUAGGUCCUGAUGCCACCCCAAAGUGGGCUUUCGGAGACCCCUUCCCUGGUUCAGGAAGGAAAAGGCCGAGGAGGACCGGGACCCAGAGCGCCUGACAGUGUCUCUUCCCGACUGCGCCUCCCGCGCACUGAGUCCUUCGGAUCAAAGCAGUGCGUUGGUGCCAGCGGUACAGGCGACGCGCAGAAAGGGCCGGCCCUGUGAAUAGGAGAUCUUUGUUAUAAUACUGCUCGGCUCUUGUUAUGCAGCCCAACUGGCCUUGAAUGCAAGAUCCUCCUGCCUCAGCCUUCUGAGUACUGGGAUUACGGGCAUAUGGCACUCGCCUGGCAUGCUAAACUAUUAUAUAAUGUAGAAAGCAAUGACCACUCCAUGCCCUGUUACUCAUCUGAUGUUAAGAUAUUUAGUUCUUUGUUUCUACUUAUAUAUAUGCAGUGACUGAGUUCGUCAUAAAGCAUUAUCAGCAGAUAUAAAAUAUUUUGAUGGCA
rnacentral:lncRNA from 1 species